ensembl:misc_RNA 7SK 7SK RNA
UGACGUGAGGGCGGCCUGGCUAUGACACCUGUCUCCCCACUGAUCACCAGGUUGACUCGGUCGGUCUGCCUGACUGGGCAGGUGUCCCCUUCCUCCCUCACGGCUCCAUGUGCAUCCCCCUCCCAAAGCUGUGCACUCGGUCAGUCCCAAAAAACAGUCCCAAUAGAGACUAUUGAGUCCCAAUAGAGACGGACUGGUCUUAGGUCAAGGGUACAGGAGUAGCUGCCCUCCCCUGCUGUGACCUCCAGACAAGCUCAAGGUCAGGAAAGUCCAGCGCUCCCACGAAGCCUUUCCUGGGCCAGAAUGACAUAAAGGGGAGAAGCAGUUGUAACUG